UCAUAAUUUAAAACGAGUUAAUUGCCUGUCAGUCAAUUUACAGGAGUGCGCUCUACGGACAUGACAUCUCUGCCACACAGCUUAAAUACUCAAUGCGGCUCACUAAACUUAAUUUGGAAAACUUCUGGCUUUUGGAAAAUCGCUUUGCAUUGCCUUUCAGUGCCUGCUAAUGAAACCGGACUUCACAUACGAGUACGUGCAGGUCAGGACGCUCUCAGGAUGGACAUUGGGAAAAGUGCAAGCAACUUUUCUUGGUCGUUUUUCGUAGAUAUUUCUUUUAAUUCUGGCCCGCAGACGUAACUCUUUUAUUUUCAUACAUUUCCAAAGGGGCCAAAACUAAAAGCCAGAAGACGGCUCUGCCAUAGACACAGGCAAAAGCAGAG
rnacentral:lncRNA from 1 species